CAGUAGCCGCGGUAAUACGUAGGGUGCAAGCGUUAAUCGGAAUUACUGGGCGUAAAGCGUGCGCAGGCGGUUAGAUAAGCCAGAUGUGAAAUCCCCGAGCUCAACUUGGGAACUGCGUUUGGAACUGUUUAACUAGAGUGCGUCAGAGGGGGGUGGAAUUCCGCGUGUAGCAGUGAAAUGCGUAGAGAUGCGGAGGAACACCGAUGGCGAGGGCAGCCCCCUGGGAUGACACUGACGCUCAUGCACGAAAGCGUGGGGAGCAAACAGGAUUAGAUACCCGAGUAGUCCCUGUCUCUUAUAC
rnacentral:rRNA from 1 species